GACGAACGCUGGCGGCGUGCUUAACACAUGCAAGUCGAACGGAAAGGCCCUGCUUUUGUGGGGUGCUCGAGUGGCGAACGGGUGAGUAACACGUGAGUAACCUGCCCUUGACUUUGGGAUAACUUCAGGAAACUGGGGCUAAUACCGGAUAGGAGCUCCUGCUGCAUGGUGGGGGUUGGAAAGUUUCGGCGGUUGGGGAUGGACUCGCGGCUUAUCAGCUUGUUGGUGGGGUAGUGGCUUACCAAGGCUUUGACGGGUAGCCGGCCUGAGAGGGUGACCGGCCAGAUUGGGACUGAGAUACGGCCCAGACUCCUACGGGAGGCAGCAGUGGGGAAUAUUGCACAAUGGGCGGAAGCCUGAUGCAGCAACGCCGCGUGCGGGAUGACGGCCUUCGGGUUGUAAACCGCUUUCGCCUGUGACGAAGCGUGAGUGACGGCAAUGGGUAAAGAAGCACCGGCUAACUACGUG
rnacentral:rRNA from 1 species